rnacentral:rRNA from 1 species
UACGGAGGGAGCUAGCGUUGUUCGGAAUUACUGGGCGUAAAGCGCACGUAGGCGGAUCGUUAAGUCAGGGGUGAAAUCCUGGAGCUCAACUCCAGAACUGCCUUUGAUACUGGCGACCUUGAGUUCGGGAGAGGUGAGUGGAACUGCGAGUGUAGAGGUGAAAUUCGUAGAUAUUCGCAAGAACACCAGUGGCGAAGGCGGCUCACUGGCCCGAUACUGACGCUGAGGUGCGAAAGCGUGGGGAGCAAACAGG